GCGCUCGUCGCUGUGCGCCGAGAUUCAGGCCGAUGGAGGGCGCCGCCGGGGUGCGUCUGGCGCAGAAGGUGUCGCCUCUGCCCGGGCUGUGGACCGCGCUGCCGCGCGCCUGAGGGCAUCGCCAUGCCGGGCACCGGCCGUUGGCCGCUGCGACCGCCUCCAGGUGCAGCGCUGGGAGCAGCCGGGCCAAAGGAUGCUGCCGCUCCGCUAGGAGGCUGGCCGAGGAAGCGCUGUCCGGGCCAUGGGUCGCCGCUGAAGUUUGCCUUGGACGACAUUCAAACGACGCCCUGGAGAUCGAGAGACUUCCCGCGCCUGGGUGGGUGCUGGCCGCCGCCGUCUUCGCCGACCGCCGGGAGCCACGGAUGUGUGUGUAGGCGCAGGAGCGGAACAUCGUAUCCUGGCUCGCCGCGUCGGCGGCCGAGGGGCGCCGUGCACCACGCGUAGGCCGGAGGGCCGGCAGUCUCGCGGCGCCUUUGUGCCGCAUCGGCCGCCGUUCUUCCGCUGUGGCCUAUUUCUCCAAUCGAGAGCAGAGUGCGUGAUAACGUGUUCGAAAUCGACAAAACAAAUGAUCGAACUUCCGAUUCCAUUGAAUGAUUCUCGGUAUAUAUACAAGGGGAACAGACACAAUAAGGAGAUGCGACUGUUCGUAGAGGUGCAAGGGGAAAGACGCGACGGUUGGCAAUGCAACCAACAUACAGAUUACAAUGGGAGGAUUAUCUCUUUAAUUAACCUAUUAAUUUAAUCCUAACACUGCUCUCGGAACCGGCUUGGCGGCCUCCACUCUGGUAGGUGAUGCUCCAUAUUCUCAACCACCCCCAGUUUUUAGUUUUUACUAUCACCGAGACUAUGUUUUUGAAUCUUACAGCUUGUGCAUCGGAUCCAAAGGUGCUCGAUGUGACAGGUCUCUUGCUACUUCAUUGUUAUGCAGGCUCUCCUCUGUCCUCUUUAGAAAAGUUCAUUGCUUCAGCAGUCCAGCCAGUGAACAGUUAGCCAUAUGCAGAUUUGUUGGCUUUGGCCAUAUACUUUUAGUCAUAUGUAUUAUAUAUAUUUCAUUUAGUUUGACUGACAAAAAAUGUGCUUUAUUUAUCUAUUAUACACGUCUUGGUAUGUGUUCCUUAGAGAAGAUCUAUGGAGUCAACAAAUCUAAUACAUGGUAGGAAGUAAGCAAGGAAACAUCAGAAGAUAUUUUUCGCAGUCCAUUGUACAAACACAAUCGACGAUUAUGCCCUUUGGGUAAAAAAAGAUUAUGCUUUCAAGUGUUACUUCGCUAGGUUAAUGUUUCAUAUAAUCCAUCACUUGGGGUUUCUAUCCAUGAAUCUGUGAGUAUUGUAUCAUACUAUGACAAGAGGUAUUAUUCCAUAACAAAUAAGUACUCAGGGUUUAUGCAGAUAUGGAUCUGCUAUCAUGCUUAAACUUUCUUUCUUCAUUUUGCUGAUCCAGAAAAGUCUGUUGCUGCUCGCAUUUGCUUCAUUGAUUUGCAAAUCUCUUGCUACUCACCUUGGUAUGCAACCUCUCAUCUCUUAAAUUAUUUACUUAGCAUACCUUCUAUUGUUUUCAUGCGUAUUUUCCCCUUAGUUUCAGACGUGCCCCCCCCCCUCCCCCCUCCUGGGUGGCCUUCUUAAGCCUCUGCAGAUCUGGCACCACAUAAUAUCUUUUCUGGACAUAAGUCUCUUAGGAGAUUGAACUAAAAAAGAUUAAUCUUUAAUAAUACCAAAGGAGAAUUAUACAUUUCCUGAAACUUAAAGAUGACAUGAUGCAAGUGUGUCCUUGACAUGGCCGCAACAGUGCUAACAUAUGCUAGAAACAGUAGUGUGGCAUUUGAGGAUUUGGACAACUGAACUUUCAGUUCAGCCAGUAGAUAUUACUGAAGAGAAGGAAGAAUAAAAAGCAUGUUGGCAUCUCAACUGGCUACCUUGAUUAUAUAUCUGAAACCAUAUAUACACCAUUUAAUUUAUAGAAUAUUUCACAUUGUAUGUAGAGAUGAAGUCACAAAGUACAAAGACAUUAGCAUUACUGUGACUAAGCAUAACCAAUCGAUUUCAGGAGGUUCUGUGUUUUGACAAACAAUUUGUUGGUACUACCACUAAGCAACAAUAUUUGUAACAAAAUGACCCCAGAACCUCCAGUACGAAUGGGCAAUUAAUGCAAGAGGACGCCACCAUAUUCAAACAAUAUUCUGGCAUGUUCUUUUGCCGUUUCAAUAAGAGAAGCUACGAAGAGAUACACAGAUGCUAUCGAAAAGAUGAAGAUCACAAAAGAACUGAAGUUUUCGACUCACAAACGUGAGUCUGCGCCUCAACACUCUGCGAACCCCGUCUGCUGGCCAUCUAUUCUCUUCCACUUGAUGCAUUGUCGGGUAUGAAAAGAGUGGGACAACAUAUAUCCAUCUUGCGGUAACUGAAGAAGGAAAAUCUGGAAACAACAACAAAUAGUUCAUGCUAAGAAUAUGAUUCACACUACAACCUGCUAAUCAUGUAGUGAAUAUUUAUACACCAACUUUUCUAAUAAUUACCUAUUUGUGAACGCUACCCACUUAUUGAUUCAAAUUAUUUUAUUC